rnacentral:tRNA from 1 species
CGGUAAAAUGGCUGAGUUUAAGCAAUAAAUUGUAAAUUUAUUUACGGAGUUUUCCUUUUACC